rnacentral:rRNA from 1 species
UACGAAGGGGGCUAGCGUUGUUCGGAAUCACUGGGCGUAAAGCGCACGUAGGCGGACCUUCAAGUCAGGGGUGAAAUCCCGGGGCUCAACCUCGGAACUGCCUUUGAUACUGUUGGUCUUGAGUCCGGAAGAGGUGGGUGGAAUUCCUAGUGUAGAGGUGAAAUUCGUAGAUAUUAGGAAGAACACCGGUGGCGAAGGCGGCCCACUGGUCCGGUACUGACGCUGAGGUGCGAAAGCGUGGGGAGCGAACAGG